GGGGCUGUAGCACAACGGGAGUGCACCUGCUUUGCAAGCAGAUGGUUGUAGGUUCGAAUCCUAUCAGCUCCACCA
rnacentral:tRNA from 1 species